UACGGGAGGCAGCAGUGGGAAUAUUGCACAAUGGGCGCAAGCCUGAUGCAGCCAUGCCGCGUGUAUGAAGAAGGCCUUCGGGUUGUAAAGUACUUUCAGUCGUGAGGAAGGUGUUAAGGUUAAUAACCUUAGCAAUUGACGUUAGCGACAGAAGAAGCACCGGCUAACUCCGUGCCAGCAGCCGCGGUAAUACGGAGGGUGCGAGCGUUAAUCGGAAUUACUGGGCGUAAAGGGCACGCAGGCGGUUAAUUAAGUUGGAUGUGAAAUCCCCGGGCUUAACCUGGGAAUGGCAUUCAAGACUGGUUAGCUAGAGUCUUGUAGAGGGGGUAGAAUUCCAUGUGUAGCGGUGAAAUGCGUAGAGAUGUGGAGGAAUACCGGGUGGCGAAGGCGGCCCCUGGGACAAAGACUGACGCUCAUGUGCGAAAGCGUGGGGAGCAAACAGGAUUAGAUACC
rnacentral:rRNA from 1 species